rnacentral:tRNA from 1 species
CGGGGUAUAGCUCAGUUGGAUAGAGCAUGCGCCUUCUAAGCGCACGGUCGAGGGUUCGAAUCCUUCUACCCCCGCCA